rnacentral:rRNA from 1 species
AUUGAACGCUGGCGGCAGGCCUAACACAUGCAAGUCGAGCGGAGCGGAGGACGGGUGAGUAAUGCCUAGGAAUCUGCCUGGUAGAGGGGGAUAACGAACGGCAACGGGCGAUAAUACCGCCAACUAUCAGAUGAUCCUAUGUCGGAUGAUCUAGGUGGGGGGGUAAAGGCCUACCAGGGCGAAGAUCCGUAGCGGGUCUGAGAGGAUGAUCAGUCAAACUGGACGUGAGACACGGUCCAGACUCCGACGGGAGGCAGCAGUGGGGAAUAUUGGACAAUGGGCGAAAGCCUGAUCCAGCCAUGCCGCGUGUGUGAAGAAGGUCUUCGGUGUGUAAAGCACUGUAAGUUGGGAGGCGUUACCAACAGAAUAAGCACCGGCUAACUUCGUGCCAGCAGCCGCGGUAAUAC